rnacentral:tRNA from 1 species
CGGGUUUAGCUCACUAGCGAGAGCGCUCCGUUUGUAACGGAGAGGGGCAGUCCGACGGGACUUCAGGUGCAAUUCCGGCGACCCGGCCA